rnacentral:tRNA from 1 species
GGUUCUAUGGUGUAAUGGUUAGCAAUCUGGAUUCUGAAUCCAGCGAUCCCAGUUCAAAUCUCGGUGGAACGU